UUGAAGAGUUUGAUCAUGGCUCAGAUUGAACGCUGGCGGCAGGCCUAACACAUGCAAGUCGAACGGUAACAGGAAGCAGCUUGCUGCUUUGCUGACGAGUGGCGGACGGGUGAGUAAUGUCUGGGAAACUGCCUGAUGGAGGGGGAUAACUACUGGAAACGGUAGCUAAUACCGCAUAACGUCGCAAGACCAAAGAGGGGGACCUUCGGGCCUCUUGCCAUCGGAUGUGCCCAGAUGGGAUUAGCUAGUAGGUGGGGUAACGGCUCACCUAGGCGACGAUCCCUAGCUGGUCUGAGAGGAUGACCAGCCACACUGGAACUGAGACACGGUCCAGACUCCUACGGGAGGCAGCAGUGGGGAAUAUUGCACAAUGGGCGCAAGCCUGAUGCAGCCAUGCCGCGUGUAUGAAGAAGGCCUUCGGGUUGUAAAGUACUUUCAGCGGGGAGGAAGGGAGUAAAGUUAAUACCUUUGCUCAUUGACGUUACCCGCAGAAGAAGCACCGGCUAACUCCGUGCCAGCAGCCGCGGUAAUACGGAGGGUGCAAGCGUUAAUCGGAAUUACUGGGCGUAAAGCGCACGCAGGCGGUUUGUUAAGUCAGAUGUGAAAUCCCCGGGCUCAACCUGGGAACUGCAUCUGAUACUGGCAAGCUUGAGUCUCGUAGAGGGGGUAGAAUUCCAGGUGUAGCGGUGAAAUGCGUAGAGAUCUGGAGGAAUACCGGUGGCGAAGGCGGCCCCCUGGACGAAGACUGACGCUCAGGUGCGAAAGCGUGGGGAGCAAACAGGAUUAGAUACCCUGGUAGUCCACGCCGUAAACGAUGUCGACUUGGAGGUUGUGCCCUUGAGGCGUGGCUUCCGGAGCUAACGUGUUAAGUCGACCGCCUGGGGAGUACGGCCGCAAGGUUAAAACUCAAAUGAAUUGACGGGGGCCCGCACAAGCGGUGGAGCAUGUGGUUUAAUUCGAUGCAACGCGAAGAACCUUACCUGGUCUUGACAUCCACGGAAGUUUUCAGAGAUGAGAAUGUGCCUUCGGGAACCGUGAGACAGGUGCUGCAUGGCUGUCGUCAGCUCGUGUUGUGAAAUGUUGGGUUAAGUCCCGCAACGAGCGCAACCCUUAUCCUUUGUUGCCAGCGGUCCGGCCGGGAACUCAAAGGAGACUGCCAGUGAUAAACUGGAGGAAGGUGGGGAUGACGUCAAGUCAUCAUGGCCCUUACGACCAGGGCUACACACGUGCUACAAUGGCGCAUACAAAGAGAAGCGACCUCGCGAGAGCAAGCGGACCUCAUAAAGUGCGUCGUAGUCCGGAUUGGAGUCUGCAACUCGACUCCAUGAAGUCGGAAUCGCUAGUAAUCGUGGAUCAGAAUGCCACGGUGAAUACGUUCCCGGGCCUUGUACACACCGCCCGUCACACCAUGGGAGUGGGUUGCAAAAGAAGUAGGUAGCUUAACCUUCGGGAGGGCGCUUACCACUUUGUGAUUCAUGACUGGGGUGAAGUCGUAACAAGGUAACCGUAGGGGAACCUGCGGUUGGAUCACCUCCUU
rnacentral:rRNA from 1 species